AGAGCGAACGCUGGCGGCGUGUUUAACACAUGCAAGUCGAGUGCGCGUCCGUAGCAAUACGGAUGGCGCACGGCGCACGGGUGCGUAACACGUGGGCAAUCUGCCCUCGGAUGUGGGAUACCCCCGCGAAAGCGGGACUAAUACCGCAUGAUAUUCCCGAGACUCCGGUCUUGGGACUCAAAGGCCGCAAGGCCGUCUGAGGAGGAGCCCGCGCCCGAUUAGCUAGUUGGUGAGGUAACGGCUCACCAAGGCUUUGAUCGGUAGCCGGUCUGAGAGGAUGGCCGGCCACACUGGAACUGAGACACGGUCUAGACUCCUACGGGAGGCAGCAGUGGGGAAUAUUGCGCAAUGGGCGAAAGCCUGACGCAGCGACGCCGCGUGGGGAUGAAGCUUUUCGGAGUGUAAACCCCUUUCGACCCGGACGAAUGACCCGCAAGGGUUUGACGGUACGGGUAUAAGAAGCCCGGCUAACUACGUGCCAGCAGCCGCGGU
rnacentral:rRNA from 1 species